UCAGACGUGGUGUAAGGUACACCCUCGCUUUCAUUGUGUGCUCUCAAUCAUUUCACGAGAUCAGCGAGCGUCCGGGGUUCGAUUCCUCGCGUCUGAA